AAAUUGAAGAGUUUGAUCAUGGCUCAGAUUGAACGCUGGCGGCAGGCCUAACACAUGCAAGUCGAACGGUAACAGGAAGAAGCUUGCUUCUUUGCUGACGAGUGGCGGACGGGUGAGUAAUGUCUGGGAAACUGCCUGGUGGAGGGGGAUAACUACUGGAAACGGUAGCUAAUACCGCAUAACGUCGCAAGACCAAAGAGGGGGACCUUCGGGCCUCUUGCCAUCGGAUGUGCCCAGAUGGGAUUAGCUAGUAGGUGGGGUAACGGCUCACCUAGGCGACGAUC
rnacentral:rRNA from 1 species